UGAACGCUAGCUACAGGCUUAACACAUGCAAGUCGAGGGGCAGCAUGGUCUUAGCUUGCUAAGGCUGAUGGCGACCGGCGCACGGGUGAGUAACACGUAUCCAACCUGCCGUCUACUCUUGGCCAGCCUUCUGAAAGGAAGAUUAAUCCAGGAUGGGAUCAUGAGUUCACAUGUCCGCAUGAUUAAAGGUAUUUUCCGGUAGACGAUGGGGAUGCGUUCCAUUAGAUAGUAGGCGGGGUAACGGCCCACCUAGUCAACGAUGGAUAGGGGUUCUGAGAGGAAGGUCCCCCACAUUGGAACUGAGACACGGUCCAAACUCCUACGGGAGGCAGCAGUGAGGAAUAUUGGUCAAUGGGCGAUGGCCUGAACCAGCCAAGUAGCGUGAAGGAUGACUGCCCUAUGGGUUGUAAACUUCUUUUAUAAAGGAAUAAAGUCGGGUAUGCAUACCCGUUUGCAUGUACUUUAUGAAUAAGGAUCGGCUAACUCCGUGCCAGCAGCCGCGGUAAUACGGAGGAUCCGAGCGUUAUCCGGAUUUAUUGGGUUUAAAGGGAGCGUAGAUGGAUGUUUAAGUCAGUUGUGAAAGUUUGCGGCUCAACCGUAAAAUUGCAGUUGAUACUGGAUGUCUUGAGUGCAGUUGAGGCAGGCGGAAUUCGUGGUGUAGCGGUGAAAUGCUUAGAUAUCACGAAGAACUCCGAUUGCGAAGGCAGCCUGCUAAGCUGCAAC
rnacentral:rRNA from 1 species